AUUGAACGCUGGCGGCAUGCCUUACACAUGCAAGUCGAACGGCAGCACGGGUGCUUGCCCCUGGUGGCGAGUGGCGAACGGGUGAGUAAUACAUCGGAACAUGUCCUGUAGUGGGGGAUAGCCCGGCGAAAGCCGGAUUAAUACCGCAUACGAUCCACGGAUGGAAGCGGGGGACCUUCGGGCCUCGCGCUAUAGGGUUGGCCGAUGGCUGAUUAGCUAGUUGGUGGGGUAAAGGCCUACCAAGGCGACGAUCAGUAGCUGGUCUGAGAGGACGACCAGCCACACUGGGACUGAGACACGGCCCAGACUCCUACGGGAGGCAGCAGUGGGGAAUUUUGGACAAUGGGCGAAAGCCUGAUCCAGCAAUGCCGCGUGUGUGAAGAAGGCCUUCGGGUUGUAAAGCACUUUUGUCCGGAAAGAAAUCCUUGGCUCUAAUACAGUCGGGGGAUGACGGUACCGGAAGAAUAAGCACCGGCUAACUACGUG
rnacentral:rRNA from 1 species